AUCAUUAUUAUUAUUGCUAAAUUAUGUUCUUUAGAGUUGCUCUGAAACCGCAGUGUUACACUCUCUGAUCACUUCUACACCGGCCACAUCUCAGCCCAUAUCUAAAGAUCUGGAGCACCCAGUGUCACAUCAGCACAACACAGCAGACCCUAAAGACACGUUUGUUACUUCUGUAAACCCAAUGUACCAGACCUCAGAUGUUUUGGUCCCUAAACAACAGAAAGCAAGAAAUACAGAAGAAAACGAGAUUGUUUACCAUCUGUACUGCACAAUUCCUGACAAACCAGUUCACUCAAACAAUUAAGAUCAAGAAGACCCUCUAGACUAUUUUCUAGACUAAAGGAUUUUCUCUGGCAAGGUCCACAAGUCCAAUAAUGACAUCUAAGAAUUGCUUGUCUUUUCCAUAAUAAUGAACUAAAGCAAUGACUAAUGUAACCGUCUUUGCAUUAACAUCAUUUCAAUAUAUUUGGAAAGUGAAUGUUAUGUUUUCUGAGUUUUAGUAUGCGAGCAAUAUGAGAAGUUAACGCAUUUGGCAUAGAAGUCUAAUUUCUGUUUAUUUGCUUCUGCUCCUGCUGGUUAAUUAGAAAGUUAGUUAGUUAGUUAGUUAUUAAUUCUAAAAGUGCACCUUGUUUAAAACUAUUGAUUCUUCAGCGAAAUAGUUGACUCAGAGUCAUGUAAAUGAAUCGAGUUGGGUUUGGAUCUUUUGCUUGAACGCGUCUACAUUUAUACGGUACAUCACCAAAUAUGUAGUUCCCGUUCUGGUAAAAUGUGCACGUGCUUUCCCUCCACACACUAGCGGUGCGCGGGGGAUCACGGGACUGAUCAUGACGCGAAGACGACGACAGAUGGAGAUUCGGCUGAGGGGAAUAAAGGGUUAAAGUUCAUUUUCACAACAUUACCACAGUAUAUCCAACCUAGUGUUGUGUUUGUUCUUGUCAUUUUUCUGACGAUUGAUACAAUAGCAUACGCUGCAACUCUGUAUUCACCGGUCGCUUGCUAUUGAAGGAGCAGCAGACAAUGAGACUUUGUCAGUAACUUUUAAAGUUCAAAUGGACCAGUUUCUUCUUCCUCUGGAUCAUAACAUAUAAGUGUCAUUAAAAUUGCUGACUCGUUUUGUGUAGUUUGCAAAAUAUGUGUUUAAUUGUCUGUUAUAAGUUGUAAUCACACUGCUUCUACUGUAUCUCUCAGGUUAAAUCUGUAUGGGGCUGUUCACAUAUCGCGUCCAAAACCUUGUUAAAAACGUGACGCAUGCUGCUUCUUUUACCAAUUUAAAUGGGUUUCUGAGUGAUCCUCUGCCGUUUGCUUUUGCUAUGGCCACCAUCAGGUGUAUCUUACACAUGCGGCGCAGUCAAUUUUCAAAAUAGUUCAACUUUUGCCACUGUGUGUUUUAAUACUGAAUGUGUGUUGUUGUUAUU